UCUGUAUAAUUUUCGUACAUGUAGUGGAACUGUUCGCUAUGCGAGUGUGCAUGCACAUAUGGGAAGGACUGGGAGUAGGAAGGACGACUUGGGAUCACUGGCUUAUACUUUGAUAUUCCUUAUGCGGGGUAGUCUUCCUUGGCAAGGUUAUCAGGGCGACAACAAAGGUUUUCUGGUGUGGAAGAAGAAAAUAGCAACUUCUCCCGAAAUGCUGUGCUGUUUCUGCCCGGUUCCGUUUUUAAACAGACGUUUUGGAGAUGGUCGCAAAUAUGAAGUUCGAUGAAGAGCCAAACCACGGCAAGCUCGUUCUACUCUUCGAUUCCAUCUUGGGUCCUAAUCCUACUGUGAGACCCAUAAACACAGACGGUGUUGAAAAGUGUUCCAUACAGGUUGGUCAAAAGAGAGGGCGAAUCAGAUGUUGAAGAAGAUGAGGAUGACCAACCUAAGAAAAAGAUCCGGUUAGGAAUGCCCGCAACUCAAUGGAUUACAACAUUUACAACGCUCGGUGGCCAAAUGAAGCAGAGGUAUCACUACGAUGCAGCUGAUUCCCGGCUUACGGAGCACGUGGAAAAGGGUAAUGAAGACGGUCUGUAUAUAAGCAGUGUGGCUUCUUGUACAAAUCUAUGGGCUCUUGUUAUGGAUACAAGGACAGGAUUUACUGCUCAAGUUCAUGAGCUGUCGCAUGUAUUCGCCGUCCUCGAAUGCAUGUGGGUUUAUUUAGAAAUAUAUUUUGUGCAAGAUUUUGCCUGCGGUCUCUUGGAAGGUA